rnacentral:tRNA from 2 species
GCGGGCGUGGUGGAAUUGGUAGACACGCCAGAUUUAGGUUCUGGUGGCGGAAACGCCGUGGGGGUUCAAGUCCCUUCGCCCGCACCA